UCCAAUAUUUUUGAUAAUUCGCUCUUCUGUUUGCGCCGAGAACACUCCGGUAUUGAUGGCAACGCUCUGCAUUUCUCUUCAUCCCCAUCUCUUUCUCAUCUGUCCACCCCCCCUUCCUCUCAUCCUCAAAUUCUCAAACGCUGAAUCAGCUGCUUGGGAACGGACGGUCCUCCUGCCUCUUGGAUCCACAAACAAGCUGCCUCUCCCCGGUUCUACGGUGUCCUUCUCCUUUCCUGAGCUUGGGAUUCUGGCACACACAGAAGUCUUGUCCUAAAAUGCUUUGCUAAAGCUGGUAAAAUGGAACCAAAUCAACUGUUUUAUGGAUUUGGUCCCCUUCAACCAGCUGUAGCUGUGCAUUGAUCACCCCGUAGAGCUGUGAUGAAGAAAGAGAGGUGUUCAAAAGCACAACGCACAAUAUUUGAUUGCGUGUGAAGUUCACAGUGCAGGACCGGCUGUUGAAUACAUGUUCCUUUAAGCACUAAUAUCAUGAUUAAACACUCUUUGUCCUCUUAAAGCCCAGGUGAGUAUUAUAUAUGCCAUGUCACUUAUUAUUUAUGAGCUAUAAUUGUUGAUUAUGUAUUCAAGCCAAAUCACUAUCAUUGGAAAGAGGACUCUGGGCUCUUUAUGGCCAUCCAUUGAUUUCUUGUCUCGCCGCUGAAAGAGUGAGAAGUAUGGGGGGAUGAGCUGGGCUGGAUGGAUGUAGGGAACGAGGGAGUGGGUGUGUGUCAAGCUGUUGAAUAAGUAAAACAGUCGUUCCUUUUCUCUUUCUUUUCCUUCUACACUUGUCGUGAUUCUUAAUGCACAUGGCUGAUCAAUAAAAGCUCAUCCUGAAGUUCAUAAACUG